GAUGAACGCUGGCGGCGUGCCUAAUACAUGCAAGUCGAGCGAACAGACGAGGAGCUUGCUCCUCUGACGUUAGCGGCGGACGGGUGAGUAACACGUGGAUAACCUACCUAUAAGACUGGGAUAACUUCGGGAAACCGGAGCUAAUACCGGAUAAUAUAUUGAACCGCAUGGUUCAAUAGUGAAAGACGGUUUUGCUGUCACUUAUAGAUGGAUCCGCGCCGCAUUAGCUAGUUGGUAAGGUAACGGCUUACCAAGGCGACGAUGCGUAGCCGACCUGAGAGGGUGAUCGGCCACACGGGAACUGAGACACGGUCCAGACUCCUACGGGAGGCAGCAGUAGGGAAUCUUCCGCAAUGGGCGAAAGCCUGACGGAGCAACGCCGCGUGAGUGAUGAAGGUCUUCGGAUCGUAAAACUCUGUUAUUAGGGAAGAACAAAUGUGUAAGUAACCAUGCACGUCUUGACGGUACCUAAUCAGAAAGCCACGGCUAACUACGUG
rnacentral:rRNA from 1 species